ACACGACUACAUUAGAUACCCGCGUAGUCCUAGCCGUAAACGAUACUCGCUAGGUGUCGGCCACGGUUGCGACCGUUUGUCGGUGCCGUAGGGAAGCCGUGAAGCGAGCCACCUGGGAAGUACGGCCGCAAGGCUGAACUUAAAGGAAUUGGCGGGGGAGCACAACAACGGGUGGAGCUUGCGGUUUAAUUGGAUUCAACGCCGGAAAUCUUACCGGGACCGACAGCAACAUGAAGGCCAAGCUGAAGACUUUGCCGGAUUAGCUG
rnacentral:rRNA from 1 species